rnacentral:lncRNA from 13 species
UUGCAGCCAUCGAGUGCAGAAGGAACAGCACCCGCGGCAUUCUCUCUCCACCAGCGGGUGCAGUUUCUUCUGCACUCGGUGGUUCAAAUUGGCGCCUCAACGAUAUCACUGGGAGCUAGUCCCCUCCAUGGACAGCGCGGCCAGCGCAUGGCUGGUAAAGGCAACACUACACUUGGCUGCUCAGCACACACGUGACACACGUUGUUCAGCACAGUUCAGCAUAAGCUAGUUAGUAGUAUGUACACAGUGAAAUUCCGUUCGACAAAGGAAAAAUCUAGAAAUACGGUGCCACGUAUUUAUAAUAUCUAAUGCCACGUGGUCACAUGUUCUGCAGCGUAGGCUAAUUAUAAUAGUAGUACAUUAAUAGUAAUUAAGUACUGUAAUGUAAUCAAUUAGCAUUAUGAAUGUCGUAUUGAAAAAGAAAAAAGCGACAUAUUUUACAUAAUUAUAUUGAACAAUGGCUUGAUUAUAGUACCGAAACAAUGAUUAACUGAUGACAAGGAGUAUACAUUUUGGCCAUCCGUUGUAAAUACAGCACAAAGUAUCAAUUUAAUUAAAAGAUUUUGAAAGCAAAAUUAAUUCAAAUCAAUUUGCAUUAUAAGUGUCGUAAGUAUAUAAGUACUAUAGUACAUAUAGGUAUAAUUGUAAUAUAAUAAUUAUAAUAUAAUAAUUAUUUAUGACAUGUAAAAUGGAUAAUCGCACUAGCGUUUAUCCAUUAUUCUCGUUUUCAUAACAAGAUCAUAACAUAAUCUCAAAAAUGUAGAUUUUAGUUGAAAUAAAUAAAAUAGUAUAUUAAAAUAA